rnacentral:rRNA from 1 species
UACGAGGGGGGCAAAUGUUGUUCGGAAUCACUGGGCGUAAAGGGUGCGUAGGCGGGUUUUUAAGUCAGAGGUGAAAUCCUGGAGCUCAACUCCAGAACUGCCUUUGAUACUGAAAGUCUUGAGUAUGGGAGAGGUGAGUGGAACUGCGAGUGUAGAGGUGAAAUUCGUAGAUAUUCGCAAGAACACCAGUGGCGAAGGCGGCUCACUGGCCCAUAACUGACGCUGAGGCACGAAAGCGUGGGGAGCAAACAGG